CCAAUCGAACUCGGAGAUAGCUGGUUCUCCCCGAAAUAGCUUUAGGGCUAGCCUCGAUUUAGAUUAUUGGGGGUAGAGCACUGAAUGGGCUAGGGGGCCACAAAGCUUACUGAACCCUAUCAAACUGCGAAUACCAAUUAAUUGAUGAUCGGGAGUCAGACAGUGAGAGAUAAGUUCCAUUGUCGAAAGGGAAACAGCCCAGAUCCACGACUAAGGUCCCAAAAUACACGUUAAGUGGAAAAGGAUGUGCAGUUGCACAGACAACCAGGAUGUUGGCUUAGAAGCAGCCACUCAUUCAAAGAGUGCGUAAUAGCUCACUGGUCGAGUGAAUGUGCGCCGAAAAUAUACCGGGGCUAAACGUGAUACCGAAGUCUGGGGAUCAAGAAAUUGAUCGGUAGGGGAGCAACGCAUACGGACAGAAGCAGAAGCGGGAGCGACUGUGGACUGUAUGGGAGAGAGAAUGCCGGCAUGAGUAGCGAGAGCAAAGUGAGAAUCUUUGCCGUCGAAAGCCUAAGGUUUCCUGAGGAAGGCUCGUCCUCUCAGGGUAAGUCGGGACCUAAGCCGAGGACAAGAGUCGUAGGCGAUGGAUAACAGGUUGAUAUUCCUGUACCGUACUUAAGCGUUUGACUGAAGCAGUGACACAGAAGGAUAGACAGACCGAGUGAAUGGAAGAACUCGGCCAAGCAGUGAGGCUGACAUGUAGUGAAGUACGCAUGUUAAGGCUGGGCUGUGAUGGGGACUGAAGAUUAGUAAGGAAGCUGUUGAAUUCACACUGGCGAGAAAAGCUGCUAAGGAGCGAGAGUAUGCCCGUACCGCAAACCGACACAGGUAGGCGAGGAGAGAAUCCUAAGACGAGCGGGAGAACCCUUGUUAAGGAACUCGGCAAAAUGACUCCGUAACUUAGGGAGAAGGAGUGCCUCGAGAGAGGCCGCAGAGAAUAGGCCCAAGCGACUGUUUACCAAAAACACAGGUCUGUGCGAAGUAGAGAUACGACGUAUACGGGCUGACGCCUGCCCAGUGCCGGAAGGUUAAGGGGAAGUGUUAGGGCAACCGAAGCACGGAACUUAAGCCCCGGUGAACGGCGGCCGUAACUAUAACGGUCCUAAGGUAGCGAAAUUCCUUGUCGGGUAAGUUCCGACCCGCACGAAUGGCGUAACGACUUGGGCACUGUCUCAACAAGGGACCCGGCGAAAUUGUAGUAUGUGUGAAGAUGCACAUUACCCGCGAUAGGACGGAAAGACCCCGUAGAGCUUUACUGUAGUUUAACAUUGGAUUUUGAUAACACAUGUACAGGAUAGGUGGGAGGCUGAGAAACCGGCACGCCAGUGCCGAUGGAGCCGCUGUUGGGAUACCACUCUUGUGUUAUUGGAGUUCUAACGAAGUGCCGUAAACCGGGCUUCGGACAGUGUUAGAUGGGCAGUUUGACUGGGGCGGUCGCCUCCGAAAGAGUAACGGAGGCGUCCAAAGGUUCCCUCAGAAUGGUUGGAAACCAUUCACAGAGUGCAAAGGCAGAAGGGAGCUUGACUGCGAGACCGACAGGUCGAGCAGGUACGAAAGUAGGGCUUAGUGAUCCGGCGGUAUGAGAGUGGAAUUGCCGUCGCUCAACGGAUAAAAGCUACCUCGGGGAUAACAGGCUGAUCUCCCCCAAGAGUUCACAUCGACGGGGAGGUUUGGCACCUCGAUGUCGGCUCGUCGCAUCCUGGGGCUGGAGCAGGUCCCAAGGGUUUGGCUGUUCGCCAAUUAAAGCGGCACGCGAGCUGGGUUCAGAACGUCGUGAGACAGUUCGGUCCCUAUCCAUCGUGGGCGCAGGAGAUUUGAGAGGAGCUGUCCUUAGUACGAGAGGACCGGGAUGGACGCACCAAGGGUGAAUCAGUUGUCGUGCCAACGGCACAGCUGGGUAGCCAAGUGCGGAUCGGAUAAACGCUGAAGGCAUCUAAGCGUGAAGCCGACUUCAAGAUAAGAUCUCCCAUCCGCAAGGAGUAAGGCCCCAUGUAGACCACAUGGUUGAUAGGUCGCAGGUGGAAGUGCAGUAAUGUACGCAGCUGAGCGAUACUAAUAGGCCGAGGGCUUGAUCAA
rnacentral:rRNA from 1 species